rnacentral:rRNA from 1 species
CAAGUCGAACGGCAGCACGGACUUCGGUCUGGUGGCGAGUGGCGAACGGGUGAGUAAUGUAUCGGAACGUAUCCAAUAAUGGGGGAUAACUAGUCGAAAGAUUAGCUAAUACCGCAUACGCCCUACGGGGGAAAGCUAGGGACCUUCGGGCCUGGCGUUAAUGGAGCGGCCGAUAUCUGAUUAGCUAGUUGGUGAGGUAAAAGCUCACCAAGGCGACGAUCAGUAGCUGGUCUGAGAGGACGACCAGCCACACUGGAACUGAGACACGGUCCAGACUCCUACGGGAGGCAGCAGUGGGGAAUUUUGGACAAUGGGCGAAAGCCUGAUCCAGCCAUUCCGCGUGAGUGAAGAAGGCCUUCGGGUUGUAAAGCUCUUUCGCAAGAGAAGAAAACUUAGUCUCUAACAUAGACUGAGGUUGACGGUAUCUUGAUAAGAAGCACCGGCUAACUACGUGCCAGCAGCCGCGGUAAUACGUAGGGUGCGAGCGUUAAUCGGAAUUACUGGGCGUAAAGCGUGCGCAGGCUGUUUUGUAAGUCAGAUGUGAAAUCCCUGAGCUCAACUUAGGAACUGCGUUUGAAACUACAAGACUAGAAUAUGUCAGAGGGGGGUAGAAUUCCACGUGUAGCAGUGAAAUGCGUAGAGAUGUGGAGGAAUACCAAUGGCGAAGGCAGCCCCCUGGGAUAAUAUUGACGCUCAUGCACGAAAGCGUGGGGAGCAAACAGGAUUAGAUACCCUGGUAGUCCACGCCCUAAACGAUGUCUACUAGUUGUUGGUGGAGUAAAAUCCAUGAGUAACGCAGCUAACGCGUGAAGUAGACCGCCUGGGGAGUACGGUCGCAAGAUUAAAACUCAAAGGAAUUGACGG